rnacentral:rRNA from 1 species
UAGGGAAUCUUCGGCAAUGGACGAAAGUCUGACCGAGCAACGCCGCGUGAGUGAAGAAGGUUUUCGGAUCGUAAAACUCUGUUGUUAGAGAAGAACAAGGACGUUAGUAACUGAACGUCCCCUGACGGUAUCUAACCAGAAAGCCACGGCUAACUACGUGCCAGCAGCCGCGGUAAUACGUAGGUGGCAAGCGUUGUCCCGAUUUAUUGGGCGUAAAGCGAGCGCAGGCGGUUUCUUAAGUCUGAUGUGAAAGCCCCCGGCUCAACCGGGGAGGGUCAUUGGAAACUGGGAGACUUGAGGGCAGAAGAGGAGAGUGGAAUUGCAUGUGUAGCGGUGAAAUGCGUAGAUAUAUGGAGGAACACCAGUGGCGAAGGCGGCUCUAUGGUCUGUAACUGACGCUGAGGCUAGAAAGCGUGGGGAGCAAACAGG